CACUCUGUUCUAAACCGCCCGGUCUGACGCAAGUCAGCGGUGUUCUCGCUCUGUAAUGUUUUUGCGUUUACUGCGGUCGUGUUCAGUGGAAACUGGAAGACAUCAAGGGGAGUAUAGGUUCAGUUUUUAUAUAAAUGCUAUAUUGAUUGACGAGGAUGUUUUUUUUCCUUUCGGGGUUUUUGUUUAUUUUUUACUGGUUUGUUGUUUCUGUCUGAUUUUUUUUUUCAUUUUCGGCAUGAGGUUUGGUUAUUUUGUGCUAAUGUUAUGCUAUCACGGUAAGAAAAGGGUCGAUGAGCAAUGGGUCGGCAAAUGCCCGGUAUUAUAGGUUCUUUGAAGGUUAGAUAAAACAACGAAACUUGGACUGCUGGUAGGAAUAGGCUUGGUGUGUUUUUUCAGAUUUUGGGAGAUUGAGUGUAGGUAUUUGCUAGGUGAAACAUAGCUGUAACUGUUUUUUUUUCGUCCCUGGAACGGAACGCCCGGACUUUGCCAUUCUACACUCCGUGUGAGUGAAAUCAGCUAAUGCUUUCUCGGUGUAGCAGCUCAGAGUGCACGGCCUGGCCGGCGUAGGGUUUGGUGGCCACGUGGUGUUGGCCGGUGGUUGUGCAGAGAGUUGGUAGAAUUGCCGUUUUGUGGUGCCUGGUGUUGGUUGAACUGUGGUUCCCAUACAGGUGAACGGUUACUGGCGUAAGGUGUGCCAGGUGGGCGUACCCCGUGGAGAAUGAGCUGCUGGUGAUGUUGGCUCUGUCCGAGCGUGUCCGAGCGGGGUUUUCAUUAGUGGGUUAGGGAUUGUUGAUAACAAGGGUACCAACUGCCGGGUGAGACUUGAGAGGGUAAAUGGAGUUCAUUGUAAGGAUAACCAAUGCAAUGGUAUUGGUCUAAGAUGGCAUUGUUAUCUGGUGUUAGGUUGGGAUGAAAGGUUUAGUGGGUGAUACAGAGGUACAGAGGUGAUGAUACAGUGGAACCCAGUUUGGGUGUGAUAAGUCUCGGCGGACUAAGAUAUUAUGGAUUAGAUGGGGAAUUAUGUAAGGUGGUUUUGGGAUGCAUUAGCGAUAGCCUAGUAAGUUACAGGCUAUUACCCAGAGGAAGUUUUCACACCCAUGUUUAAAGGCUGCAGUAGGUAUGCCAUUUUCUAGGAUGCAGGUUUAGGAUAGCCCGUGAUUGUGUGGCUCUCAAUCUGCAUUGAGGUACGAGUUAACUGUGUUUCGUUUUUUUAUGGUAGUGGCGUUUGUAAAUCGUUUUUUUUUGCCAGAGUGAGGUGCCUUCCUUGUCGUUGGUCAAUAGGGCAUUGCCAAGGCAUGCAUAAGCGACAUCUGCAAUAUGCAUAUCCUGCCGAUAUGUCAUCACACGCAUUGUCAGAUAAAUGGCGCCAGUAUACUCGUAUAUAGCCCCUUUUUGAUACGAGAUUUCGGCUAAAAAUGGUUAUGUGACACAAUCUGUUUUUUUCUUCCAUGGCUUGAUGGUUGGCAUCAGACUCUGAACGGCGACGGAUCGGCACACUCGGCGGGGCCGGCCCGCUUUGCCAGAGUCUUCUUCGGCCGCUGGAGGAUUCCUUCACAGCUCCCACGUCAGCUGAGGGAGUCCGACCCCUCCCAGCUCAUCUUGCUCCAGUGGUGCUGCCUAGCAGGUCUUACGGGACAUCGUCAGGUAUAGGCCAAGGUGGCCGGGGUUUUGAAAGCUCGAAGGGGAAGCGGAAAAUACGCCCGGUUAUAUAUGACAAGAUAUAACCGGUUUUUCCGCGACACUACGAGCGUCUUCUCUGGGUCGGCCCCGGAGCCGGGCCGGCCUCUGCGAGCAGCGUUCGGCGGCAGGCGGGCGGCCGCCUGCGCCCCCGGGCGGCAAGGCCGCUAAGGCGGCGGCCUCCUCUGAUUGGCGGAACGACUCGUGUCACGUGACGGUGACGGCGCGGGGUUUGAGUGCAUUUGCGCGGUCACUCUGUUCUAAACCGCCCGGUCUGACGCAAGUCAGCGGUGUUCUCGCUCUGUAAUGUUUUUGCGUUUCCCACCCACCCACCACUAUUUUUGGGGCUUUUUUUUUUACACGCACCACACUCUUAAAUAAAGAUGGGUUUUUCCACAAAAUGUGGUUUUUCCCCAACUAGGUCCCCCGGUUUUUUUCUAGUUAGGACUUUUUCCGGGGGAGGACACACACGACAGGGUUUCUAGUUUGGGUGGGGACACCAUUGCGCCGCGCGGGGGGAGGGGUGGCGGCCCGUUGGCAGGGCAGUCUCGGUUGAGACAUGUAUACUUGCUAGUAUGUUUGUGUCGUGUUCAUUUGGGCUGAAUAUACCAAUAGCCCCUUUUUGUACAGCAACA